rnacentral:sRNA from 1 species
CGGGCACUGCGCGGUAUCGAGCUUUAGCGAACAUCCCUGAGGCGAUAAUCACAUCCACGGGGGCUGUCCCUGGGCGGGCUCUGGCCCGAUCUACAUGGUUCCCACCUGACGUUGAGGCGUCAGAGGAUUUUCCAGCACACGGCCGAGGCGGUCCCGUC